AAGAAAAAAAAAAGGACUGAGAAUUAUGGAGUACCUCUCAGGAAGAGGGUAUCACAACAAGACAUGUCUGUUAACAGUACAUGUGAAGUACACACGGAAACUGAUUUGGCGUAAACAUUGUAUUCUUCCGCAUGUGAAUCAACUGAUGGUGUGUCAGGUUUAUUAGUCUUUAUUAUUCUGUAAGACAUCCGGUUGCUGUGUUCCGGAAUAAUUUCUGUUUAGAACUCUUCUAACAGUUGUCGUUAAUAACAACUUGCACAAGUUUUGUUGUAGUUGUUAUGGCGAAAUAUUUUCUCCUUAAACUGAAGAAGUUACCUGGGUCUCUUCAGAGUAAUGCCACAACAGUAAGUUUUUAAAAUAAAUUCGGAAAUUUGAUAAAAAAUUUUUAAAAAAAAGCGAAUGGAUCUGAUUAUUUCAUCUUUUUGUAUAAAAACUGGACAGCGUCUGGGAAUAGCUUUCACUAAGCUCAUGACAAAGAAAAAAGGCACGGAAUUUCCGAUAACAUUGCUUUCAGAAUUGUACUUCCGUUGUGUGAAACACGAAAAUGCUAAAAGAAAUUUUUAAAAAGGAAGAAAACACCAAUUUCUCGCUCUUUUCCUUCCUUAUGAUUUAGUGAUAAUUAUUGCAAAAACGCUUAAAAUUUACUUAGCAUACAGAAAUAUGAUUUUGAUUUGAAAGUUCACAGAAAACCAUUUUUAUGCAUGUUUCUUAUUGAAUUGUACAUCUUUGACAUGGUCACUCUGCUUCAUCGCACGUCAGUUUGAUUGAGUUCGCCGUUAAGAUGCAACCAACCCUUCACAAUGGCAACUGCACAACUGAUGUUUGAGGGAAAAAAAUUAUAUUAAAGUGCUACUGGAAGCACGAAAAUGUCACGGAAGUGGAAAGACAAUUUAACAUACAGUUUCAGAAGACACCACCAAUACGACACAGUAUUGCUCGCAUCAGAGCAAUAAACGGAACAUUAGUAAGCAAUGCUUUGGAAGACCAUGAACAUCCACCAACCCCAAUAGACACAACCAAUUAAUGGAAACCCUUUCCCGAUCCUCCCAAAAAUCUGUAAGACAAUUGAGUCGUGAGAUAGGAAUCCCAAAAUCGAGUGUUCAUUGGAUGUUGAAACGAGUUCAAUGGAAAAGUUACGUUCCAACAUUAAUUCAAGCCCUCAAUGAAGAUGAUCCUGAUUGGAGAGUUCAAUUUUGCGAAUGGUAUCUGAAUAAAUUCGCAGAGGAUGCAAUGUUUCCAGAGAAAAUCUUAUGGAGUGAUGAGGCCCCCUUCAAGUUAAAUGGUUCAGUCAACUGACAUAAUUGCACAUACUGGGCUUGUGAAAAUCCACAUUUUACUAUGGAACACCAUCUGAACUUACCAAGAAUUACAGUGUGGUGUGGGAUGUUAACAUUGGGUGUUGUUGGACCAUUUUUUUUUUUUGACCAAAUUGUCAAAAUAAUUCUAAAUGACAAUAAAUAAUCGUUUCUACAACAA